AAUGAACGUUUGCGGCGUGCCUGAUGCAUGCAAGUCGUACGAUUCAACAAUUCGCAAGAGUUAUUGGAUAGUGGCGGACGGCUGAGUAACACGUAAGUUACCUACCUCUAAGUGGGGGAUAACCUGCCGAAAGGCAAGCUAAUACCGCAUGUGAAGUAUUUUUAAAGCCUUCGGGCGCUUGGAGAUGGGCUUGCGUCUGAUUAGCUAGUUGGUAGGGUAAUGGCCUACCAAGGCGAUGAUCAGUAGCUGGUCUGAGAGGACGACCAGCCAGACAGGGACUGCGACACGGCCCUGACUCCUACGGGAGGCUG
rnacentral:rRNA from 1 species